UUGGCCUUCAAGCGAGAAAAUAGCACGGCGGCCUGUCCUCUCCUCUGCGUACGCACAACAUCACGGGGUCUUCUUCCUGGGGACGGCACGGCACAGCACCGCCGCCAUGAAUCCCGCCUCCACGCGUGGCUCGUCUACCUCUCCAGCUACCCUCCAGCAGCGCCGCUGUUGCCCUGUUCUUCCCUUCCUCACCCGCCCAACUCCUCACCCCUAGCCUCCUUUUCCUCAAGGCGGACGUCUCCGAUUUGGAUAGGAUUCGAUGGCGUGUUCAUGCCACCACGCGCGACCGGUCUUCCUCUCCAGCUACCUUCCAGCGGCGCCGUCGUUGCCCUGUUCUUCCCCUCCUCACCCGCCCCAACUCCUCACCCCCAGCCUCCUCCGCCUCGAGGCAGACGUCUCCGAUUUGGAUCUCAAGUACUGGCUCCCCGACACCUCCAUCCCCUUCUCUGCCAUGGAUUUGUAUGCUUGCAGAUUUGGAUUGGAGUGCAACUGAGAUGAGGAAGGACAAAUCAUGAACAGCUCAAGUGAGAGCGAACGGAUAUGAACACCACAACCCUCUCAGGGGAUGUUGGCUGAUCAGGAUACCCAAUACUCAAACAAGCAUGCUGAGAUGCUCUAGAUAUGGAAGUUUACCCCCAAGCUUGACCACCAGGUUUUUUUGGUUCAUGUUCAAUGGGAGGUGAAGAGUGUCGAGCGGGUAUCUGAUGCAGGUCCAAGGUAAACUCUAUUUUGCUUCUUUUAUUGUGUUUAGAUGAACAUGUCAAAGAUGCAGAUGGACAUGAUGAAGCCGUGAAUUUUCACAAAGGUCACUGAGCUUCUUGGGUUCGACAAACUACCUAACUGCUAUUAACCUAAAUUUAGUUUCAUCUGAACUAAGAGGACCACCUGUGCUUCCUCUAACAGAAUUACUCAUUUGGUGUUCUUUUGCACUAUUUAUUUUUGUUCAAAUUGGUGUGAGUGCGACCUCUUUGUCAAUUUAGAUAAGCCUUUCUGUAUCACAUGGAUGUGACCUAUAGUAUGGUGUAGAAAAGUGAUGAAAGGUAUUCGUUGGAAUUAAUUUGGCAGCAAUAGUUUAUCAAGUUUUUGCCUAGCUAGCUAUUUCUAGAAUUUCUGCAGUUGUACUUUUGUGCCAUCUCCCUCAUGUAGAUAUAUAUAUAUAUAUACACUAGCAGACUAGCAAGUAAAUUAUUUACAUCAAAACUGAGAUGUAUCUAUCUAUGAUGAAGGCAUUUUUUUUCUUUAUCUUCAGCAGUACCUCUUGCUGCUAUAAAGAAAGUAGGAACAUGGUUGAUAAAUAAUCAGAUUGUUCUGCCCAUUUUUCAUUUCACAAUCCAUUACAAUUACUAUGUCCUUGCAAUCAUACCAUUACACAUAAGCUACCCAGAUUUGGAACCCAACCAAAGAACAAUCAAGUUUGAUUCGUGCUGUUAUUGGGCCUUGCUGCGACGCUGAUACUUUUGGGCAAAGUUGCGCAGAAUCUACUCAUGCUUAUAAAACAAGUUUGUUAACAGAUUAAAUAGUCCCACCUUGCUUCUUACACAUAAUUCUAUGAAGUUAAAAAACACUAAUUCUAUCAAUUUAUAUAUGCAUGUAAGUAUGAGAACUAACAAGCAGCCUGAGAAUAGUAUUGUAUUUAGUUUUCUGGAAGGAUGCAAAAGUAAUAUUGGGCUUCCUGUGUAUACUGAUUGCUAAAGGAUGCAAUAGUAUUUGUAUGCUGGGGAAGUGUCAUUCCCUCUGUUUACUGAUGGACCUCACCCUCUUAAGAGAUCUAACCCUUGUCACUGUAAGGAAAAAAGCAAAGAGUAUUAUGACGCCAUAAAGUUUGAAUUCAGAUAAGUAUAUGCUGAAGAACACCAGAAUUAGUCUUCAUGAACCAGCGUCGCCUUGUUGAUGAUGCUUCACAUGUAAGUUUUCUGGUCCUUUGACAAGGUCUUAUAAUUAUUCAGAGGUGAUGUCAAAUGGUGCGUACCAUUUUUUAUUUUAAUUUUCUUGAAUUGUUAAGUUGAGAACUGAUGCUUGCAUUUCCAUGUGGGAAAAAGAGAGGAGAAAGUGAUGGAUUUGAGCUUUGGCGGAACAUUAUUACUGUCUAGAAAAUUCAUAGCAACAGGGCCAAUGGUUGAACAUAUAAAUCUUUUUGAAGUAAAUUCUUCUAUAACUCUCAGUCUCGGUACUACCUUGUUUAUUUAUACUUAGAGGACCAGAGGGCAAAAUCCAAAGCAAAGCCCUACACAUGUCUGGGCAUCCGGCGCAUGGCUGUGAUUUGAGCAAUUUUAGGCCAUUAAGCAUCAUCUUCAUGCAGCUCCUGCCCAAAAGGAGCAACUGCAUUUUGUCUAUAAUGCAUCUUUGACUGAAAUUCCCGUUUCUAUUUUUUGCAGAGCGCUCACAAAUUAAACAACCUAUGAAAUUGCCAGAAGGGACCAGAUAUCCUUCUUGGUAUGUGGUUUUAGAAGCGACUUAUGUUCAGCUUGCUGUGAAUUUUAUGAUUUAUCACUGCUAUACUGUUAACUACUUAACUCGAUACUAAAACAUUGGAGCCGUAGUAUGUGCAGAGGAAUUUCGGACAGGCUUCAUCAAUUCAGUAAAGGCUUAUGUAGAAACAUCUAUGACUUCACUAGAGAGUGGAUUUGCAUUCGAGGAGCAGCUUGAGCAGCUUUGCGCACAUGCCUAGACCUACUUUCAUGUCGGUGCUGUUGAUAUGUGUUGUUCUGUGUCAGUCUUUACCUCUAGCGUGUGAUGUAAUCCAUUUCCAAACGUUUUCUAAUAGAUGUUCAUUGAACUUAUUGUCA